GCUAGCUCAAUUGGUAGAGCGCUCCACCUGUAAUGGAGAGGUCCCGGGUUCGAUACCCGGACCAGGCA
rnacentral:tRNA from 2 species